AGGCUUGGUGCGCCGGGUAAAAUCAACGUCACUUAAAUUGUGGCAGCGUGCAUUGACACGUGGGAUCGUUGAGCCGGGAUGAGCUGAAACC
rnacentral:sRNA from 12 species